CUGAUCUCAGCCCAAGCUUCCGAAAUAAUGGCAGAGAAAGCACAGCCCCUUUCUCCAGGACAGGCACCUUGGGGCUGGGACCAUGCAAUGGCAGCAAUAUCCCCAUGAUGGCUCCCUGGUGACCAGGAGCAGCACAGCCAGGGCAUCACUGCACUGAGAGGGAAGGGACCAUCCCCGCCUGUCCUAAGCUCAGAGCUGAGAGCAUCACAGACAAAAUGCACUGGAAGCCAGACUGCUGCGUGUCUGUGCAGCUCACACUGCAGGCCACAGAGAUAUACUGUUCCAUGGAGAAAAGAUUGUGCCUGGUGACACCCCACCUCCCUGGCGCACUGGCCACUGCUGAUCCAGCCUGCGCAUCGAGGGGAGGCCCCGCUCAGGCGUGGAUUUCCUAUCCAAAUGCGAUACAGCUGUUUCUGCUUCCUCUCU